AGGACGAACGCUGGCGGCGUGCCUAAUACAUGCAAGUCGAGCGGACCGACGGGAGCUUGCUCCCUUAGGUCAGCGGCGGACGGGUGAGUAACACGUGGGUAACCUGCCUGUAAGACUGGGAUAACUCCGGGAAACCGGGGCUAAUACCGGAUGCUUGAUUGAACCGCAUGGUUCCAAUCAUAAAAGGUGGCUUUCAGCUACCACUUACAGAUGGACCCGCGGCGCAUUAGCUAGUUGGUGAGGUAACGGCUCACCAAGGCGACGAUGCGUAGCCGACCUGAGAGGGUGAUCGGCCACACUGGGACUGAGACACGGCCCAGACUCCUACGGGAGGCAGCAGUAGGGAAUCUUCCGCAAUGGACGAAAGUCUGACGGAGCAACGCCGCGUGAGUGAUGAAGGUUUUCGGAUCGUAAAACUCUGUUGUUAGGGAAGAACAAGUACCGUUCGAAUAGGGCGGUACCUUGACGGUACCUAACCAGAAAGCCACGGCUAACUACGUGCCAGCAGCCGCGGUAAUACGUAGGUGGCAAGCGUUGUCCGGAAUUAUUGGGCGUAAAGCGCGCGCAGGCGGUUUCUUAAGUCUGAUGUGAAAGCCCCCGGCUCAACCGGGGAGGGUCAUUGGAAACUGGGGAACUUGAGUGCAGAAGAGGAGAGUGGAAUUCCACGUGUAGCGGUGAAAUGCGUAGAGAUGUGGAGGAACACCAGUGGCGAAGGCGACUCUCUGGUCUGUAACUGACGCUGAGGCGCGAAAGCGUGGGGAGCGAACAGGAUUAGAUACCCUGGUAGUCCACGCCGUAAACGAUGAGUGCUAAGUGUUAGAGGGUUUCCGCCCUUUAGUGCUGCAGCAAACGCAUUAAGCACUCCGCCUGGGGAGUACGGUCGCAAGACUGAAACUCAAAGGAAUUGACGGGGGCCCGCACAAGCGGUGGAGCAUGUGCUUUAAUUCGAAGCAACGCGAAGAACCUUACCAGGUCUUGACAUCCUCUGACAACCCUAGAGAUAGGGCUUCCCCUUCGGGGGCAGAGUGACAGGUGGUGCAUGGUUGUCGUCAGCUCGUGUCGUGAGAUGUUGGGUUAAGUCCCGCAACGAGCGCAACCCUUGAUCUUAGUUGCCAGCAUUCAGUUGGGCACUCUAAGGUGACUGCCGGUGACAAACCGGAGGAAGGUGGGGAUGACGUCAAAUCAUCAUGCCCCUUAUGACCUGGGCUACACACGUGCUACAAUGGGCAGAACAAAGGGCAGCGAAGCCGCGAGGCUAAGCCAAUCCCACAAAUCUGUUCUCAGUUCGGAUCGCAGUCUGCAACUCGACUGCGUGAAGCUGGAAUCGCUAGUAAUCGCGGAUCAGCAUGCCGCGGUGAAUACGUUCCCGGGCCUUGUACACACCGCCCGUCACACCACGAGAGUUUGUAACACCCGAAGUCGGUGAGGUAACCUUUUGGAGCCAGCCGCCGAAGGUGGGACAGAUGAUUGGGGUGAA
rnacentral:rRNA from 1 species